AGAGUUUGAUCAUGGCUCAGAGCGAACGCUGGCGGCAGGCCUAAUACAUGCAAGUCGAACGGCUCUUCGGAGCAGUGGCGGACGGGUGAGUAACGCGUGGGAACGUGCCCUUUGGUUCGGAACAACACAGGGAAACUUGUGCUAAUACCGAAUGUGCCCUUCGGGGGAAAGAUUUAUCGCCAUUGGAGCGGCCCGCGUUGGAUUAGCUAGUUGGUGGGGUAAAGGCCCACCAAGGCUACGAUCCAUAGCUGGUCUGAGAGGAUGAUCAGCCACACUGGGACUGAGACACGGCCCAGACUCCUACGGGAGGCAGCAGUAGGGAAUCUUGCGCAAUGGGCGAAAGCCUGACGCAGCCAUGCCGCGUGAAUGAUGAAGGUCUUAGGAUUGUAAAAUUCUUUCACCGGAGAAGAUAAUGACGGUACCCGGAGAAGAAGCCCCGGCUAACUUCGUGCCAGCAGCCGCGGUAAUACGAAGGGGGCUAGCGUUGCUCGGAAUUACUGGGCGUAAAGGGCGCGUAGGCGGACAUUUAAGUCAGAGGUGAAAGCCCAGGGCUCAACCUUGGAAUUGCCUUUGAUACUGGAUGUCUUGAGUUCGGGAGAGGUGAGUGGAAUGCCGAGUGUAGAGGUGAAAUUCGUAGAUAUUCGGCGGAACACCAGUGGCGAAGGCGACUCACUGGCCCGAUACUGACGCUGAGGCGCGAAAGCGUGGGGAGCAAACAGGAUUAGAUACCCCGGUAGUCCAA
rnacentral:rRNA from 1 species